rnacentral:lncRNA from 1 species
GUAGUGGACGGGACGCUUCUUUCAACAGCAACAACAGUUAGUCAGCCACCUCGGUAGCUUGCUAGCCAAAAUAGCUUAACCAAUAAAGCUCUUUAGACGCUUUCGUGUAUAUUAGCCACUGUGUUUUAAACCCACUUCUGUCGUCCAGUGAGUUAUCCGAUUAAAUUUCAUAUUUACAUUGUUGUUGUUAUUAGUCAGCUAACGGGCUGGUUAAGUUAGCAUUAGCCUAGCUAACUAACAUCUCCGACAAUGAGUUCACCAAACUACUCUCCUCCUGCUAAAGAAGAGGAGAUCUACUGGACGGAGAAAGAACCUCUCGUGAAAGAGGAGGAGGAGGAGGAGGAUGUUACAGUAAAAGAAGAAGAGAAAGAGAAAGAGGAGGAUGCUGUUUUUGGAGUGAAAGAGGAGGAGGGGGAGAUGACUGUUACAUCGAAGAAGGAGGAGGAAGAAGAGGAGGAAACUGGAUAUCUGGGCCCCGUUUCCCAAAGUUAUCUUAAG